rnacentral:rRNA from 1 species
UACGUAGGAGGCGAGCGUUGUCCGGAAUUACUGGGCUUGAAGCGCACGUAGGCGGCGUUGUAAGUGUCGGGUGAAAUCCCACGGCUCACCCGUGGAACUGCCCGGCAUACUGCGAUGCUAGAGUGUGGUAGGGGAGAGCGGAACUCCUGGUGGAGCGGUGAAAUGCGUAGAUAUCAGGAGGAACACCGGUGGCGAAGGCGGCUCUCUGGUCCACAACUGACGCUGAGGUGCGAAAGCUAGGGGAGCAAACGGG